ACCAGACAGCAGCUGGGCCACCUAGGCGGCUGCUGGCGUAGACGCUGGCGCUCUCUGCACGCUCUCUGUGCUGACGCCGGGACCCAGGGAGGCUCACGGUCGGGCACUCUGUCCCUCAGCCUGGUGCACGGACUGCGCCUGAGCUCAGCAGUAACCACAACAACAUGGCUCUGGGUUGGCUCGGAGUGAGGACAGGGGACCGUGUUACGUGACCGCAGCACUGGCCUGAGCUGUGAGCAAGGGGAUUGGCCUGACGACUGGAAGUCUCUGCGGAUGAAAGGAGAAGCAAGCUAUGAAUUCCCACGGGGGUACCCAGAGGUUUUGCGCAGGCUCCCUUGUGUUAGCAGGCUCCUGGCUGACCUUGCACCCGUCUCGCUCUUGGGGGAGCGCUGCCCAGCAAGGACUCGCUCUGGACCAGGGUGGUGAAAAUGCCUGAUUCCUGCUUCUCCUUGUCCCGCCUGACUCGCCAAUAUCCAGACUGAGCAAAACGGGAAUAUGGACUUGAGCUGCUUCGGUGUUUGGGGUCACUCGGAAGCUUGUCCCCCUUGCUGAAGCCCCACUUAGAGCACCCGCCUCCCCGCUGUGUUCUCGUCCGCCCGCACCUGAGCUGCCUCCCAGCGAGAGCGGUCGUGAGCAGAAGUACCACAGCAGAUGAGAAAGAAGCAGUGAUCUAGAGCUGGACCAACUACAAGCAUGACGGUAACAUUUGGAGGCCCUGACAGCCGACUUGGCUGCGCAAGGCUGCUCUGCGUGGGCAGACAGAGUGAAACACAGACCUCGUCCCACUGUAAAUGAAUAAGAACUUCCAAGGGCAGCAAAAUGAGAGAGGAAUAUCACUGUUUUACCAGUGAGGAAGUCAGCACUGAUGGCUUGAGUGAUUUAUCCAAAGUCAGUAAGUCCAGAAGUCGGUAACAACACAGGAAACCUGCGUCCCAGCUGCUUCUCCGAAGACGCUGCUAACCAUAAAAAUAUCAGCCGGCUUCCGAUCGUGGCAUGCUCAAAAACCUCCUCGAGGAAAACAUAGUCGGUAGCUCCCCGUCCGCACAGCACACCCGCUCCGUGUCUCCAGGAGGCGGCACGUCGAGCCCUGGCGCAAAUCGGCGCUGGGGGUGGCACAGACCCAUGCAAAGCUGGAGGUGGAAAACCAGGAUCGUCGUGGCAGGGCCACGCCGAAGUUUUCCAGGAGCUCCCGAAACGCAGCAUGCUCUGCCUGGCGCCGGCGGCCUCCCCGGUCUCUCCCGUGCCAGCGGGUCCGGGAAAUGGACCCGGGAGAUGCUGGGAAAUAGCAUCUCACGCCAGCGUGUGCUCCCGAGGCUUGCGAGCCCUUGGGCAUCCAGCGGUUGUUGGUGCCGGCCUCGCUCCCGCGCCGCCGUGGGAACGCCUGAAUUUCCCCCAAAACCCAGUGCCCGGCCCCCGGCUCCGCGGGGCACUUGGCACCCGCCGCUGCCGCACACGUGCGCACGCACACGCGCACCGCUGCCAACUGCCCGUCCCUGUUCGUCUUUGUUCUUGGCGAUUACUGUGCAGACAACACACUCACCCGGCUGCGCCGAGAAACUGCGGACCGACCCAGCGCUGCGCUGGGGAGGGAAAUAUUGCUGAGCAGAGCCUUAGGAGAUGGAGGCACAUUAUUUUAAAUUAUCUUGAACAUAAAGAAAAAAAAAAGUGAGAAUCUGGCAACCUUGCAGCAAAGAAAAACCCUCAAAACCAGUUAUUCCUUUUAAAUAAAAACAAAAAUGAGAAACAGUAACUAUUAGAAAUCCCACCUGGUGCUUUUUCUGUGUUAAUGAUGCUUCUUAAAUUGCAUGUGGGUAAAUGGUAAUUUUGUCUCACACCAUUAAAAACUAAUGGAACCCUUGAUGAUAAGAAAUGCCAUAGCUAGCUUGUUGGAAAACGUUUAAUUAAUAAAGUAAUAAAAUUAUUGUAAACUAGUGCAGUUUCACAGAGGAUUCAAUGGGAUAUAAAACAGAUAAAACAUCUUUGAGAGUUGGUACAAGAAAUAAAUGCUGCUCUAUAAAAAGAAAUACCAUAAAGUUAAGCUGGUCUCUGUUGCACAGAGUUAAGAUAAGCUUUGUAAUAAUAAAGAUAUUUCUUUUGCAGGAAGUGUUGCAGAAGCAUGACGAGUCCAGGAGCGUAUUUUUUCCAUGCCUGGAAGGACGGCGUGCAUCCCGUCUCGGUCGGUUUGGAGCAGAAGGGAGCUGCGGCACCGCACAUCGAUGCAAGUUUUUAUCGUUGGCCAGGCACGUGUUUUGGGGCAGUUAGUUCAUUAUUUGGGUAACAAAACCUCCAUGCCAAAGUAGCAGGAAAGACACCAGCAACACUGUGCUGUCCUUGUUAAGCAGAAAAAAAUGUCAGAAAUGAUGAACCGGUCCCUUUUGGGGCAUUCCCGGCAGGUGACGGGGUCUCGCUGGAGGUCUGUGGCAGCCAGUGCUGGACACGGACAGGCCGGGCAGAGGCUUGGGAAUGAGCUUGGCCAGUAUUUUUCUCAAUUCCCAAUGACAUUUUUCUUGAAAGAUCUGGGAAUAUUUUUGUAACAAGUUACCAUGUUUCUUUCCUACCCACUGCUGUAUAUUUUAUGCUCACACCAGAAAUUAAGGCCCCUGCACUGUGCUCCGAAAGUGGCCCGUUUCCUGCGUUAGGGCUUCGUUAGGCCCCACAGCGGCUGCCUUUCGUGUCAGGGAGAGGAGUUACACCGCGGCGUAUACAGCCUGGCCACGGUUGCGCUACCCGCAGGGGCUGAGAGGGUGGGUUUCUCAGGCCGUGCGUUAUGGUGAGGUUGGGCUAAUGUUUUCUACAGUUCCUAAGGGACUUUGGGCUUGUUCUGGAAAGGUUUGCCUCCGCGCCUCAUCGGCCCCCCGGCACGGGCUCCGCGUGGGAAGCCCGCGCUGGUCAUGGGGCAAGAAAAAGGACGGUGCGGAUACAAGCCCGCAGAGGUUCAGAGACAGCAUUUCACACAUUUUGCAAUCAAGGAGAUUUCAGUUUGACCGGAUCUCCAUAAACUAUUUGCUAUAAAUUUAUAAAGUUUCAUGCUUGAGUUUAUUAACCUCUUCCAUGUGGACGUAAGAAAGGGAUGAUCACACAUUAGUAAUAAAAAGUCCAUUCUGCUCACCAAGCUGCCCAGACAUUGUUGCUCUCGCUGAUGUGAAGACGACAUCUAGAUAGGCUUUGCAAUGUCCAUCCACUUCUGGUUUGAAUUCUCUAAUUCCUUUAGUAUCCUCUACAGUGUCCACCUUGCUACUUAUUUAGAGGCCAUCCUGUUCGAUCUAUAGUUUGAAAAUAAAGCAUACAUUUUUAAGAAGUGUAUCAGCAUGAAUAAUGCUACAUAUAAUAACAUUCCUUAAAUGCAUUUUGGCCGAAUCGAGACCUGAGGUGCCCGUGUCCCAGCUCCGCUCCCGUUUGGUGCUGUCCGCCCAGCUGCGAGCACUAGCUGUCCAUGGGCCCACGGAGACCCGGCUGCCCAGCAGGAGCAUGGCGAGGCUGAAGGACCCGAGCACCCCGCCAAGGGGUCGGCUGCUGCGGGGGGAGUAACGCGUCUCCUCUUGUAGGGAGAUUUUUCCAGCUGAUGUUUUGCAGCCCCAGCUGAAGUAUCUGCAAGUGGCAGGAGAAUAAACGUGGUGCAGAGGUGCCGAAGAAAUUCCCUGGAGGAGAUGUCACCAGGCCCAGGACUGCACGGCUGUCGCAGCGGUUUGGGGACGUGGACUUAUUCUUCCCAUAUGUCAUACGCGUGUCAUAUGACGACGACAAAAUAAUAACAAGUUGGUGACUGUUUGAAACUUUUUUUAACAGCUGUGUUUUUAGAAUACUGUAAUUAGCCAUCCGUUUGCCUUAAUCACGCUAAGAUUUCUGAAAUAACUGAGAGCUCAGUGUACCUUCUCUUGACGUGAAGCUUCCCCACGUUGGGCCCGUUACCUUAUUUCGAGGAAGGGAGGGCAGAAGCAGCAGGGCAGAGGUGCAAACACGCAGUCCGGUUCCUCAGUAGAAAUUGCCAUAUAAAUUACUGAAACCGUCAUGUAAUAAUUUUAACUUGCAGCGACUGCACUGCAGGCAAGCGAAGAGGUGACAUUACAUUUCAUCGGCACAAUGACUGACUCACGUCGCCUGGGCUCGCUAUGGCAAAAUUUAAAUGAAGUAAGAGCAGCGUUUGCUGGAAGAGCGAGCGGCGAGCUGUGAGCGCGGGAGGAACACUUGUCAGCUUGCCAGGGAGAAGCCGGAUUAAACGCUGCGCGCUAAUAGAGCGUGCGGAGCGACACGGCUGCCUCGUGGCUGAGUGUCACAGCCUGAUCCAGGUAAAAGCAGAGGCCUUUAUCUCCAGAACGCACUGCUGCCUGUCAGCAUUGGGGUUUUUUAAAAUGACAUGUUUUCUUUUGGCAGAUGGGAACAAGCCUAGAAGAAUAAAUUUUUGGAGGCAGACAAAUUGGCUGCCUGGAAAUACAUGUCUUCCCGAGGUGUCGGGUCCCGGGGAGCGUUCACACUGCCCCGGGUGCGAGCGCGGGCCGGCCGGCGCCGCUCAGCCUCUCGCCGCUGCGGGGUGAAGAGCCGGCCCUGACGGGCUGCCGAAGCCCCCGGCCCGCAGCCGCGGCCUCCCGGCACGAACCACUGCGCGGAUAUAAGAUUUGCUCUGGAUAUUGCUGAUAUUGCUUUGCGCCUCCCUUGCGAAGCGUCCCCGCUGGCUAUUUCUCUAGCCGUGGGAUUUCACGGAGAUGAGCGCGCGCCUCCUUCCUCCGGCGGCCGAAAUCAAACCCGUCUCUGAGAGGGAAUAACGCGGCAGCCCCCGGCUGAUGAGAACCACGAGGCUCUCCGCAACCGGAGGGCAGAUAAAGCCGUUCCCUGCAUUAGCAGCGGGGCGAGCCGAGGUGCAGGGAGGUACGUGCUCUCCUCGGCCCCGCGUGUCCCCGCCGGCCCCGGCACACGAGACCCCGCGGGCAGCGUCCCCCCAGCAGCCGCCCCAAACUGCAUCAUCCCCCUCGGCUUCAAAAAUCCGCCAAAAAUUCAGGUACCAAAACCAGGCGUCGGGACUCUUGAGCAAACAUCAGAAAUCAAUAGGAGCUGGAAAGAUUUUUGAACACCUCCGCGGUGCCUAAAUAUUGGAGGUAGGCACGAUUUAGCUCGGUCCUUUAGGCCUCUUGGCUCAAGCAACAUGAAGCAGCAGCCUUCCAGCGCGGCUCAGCCUGCCUGGCCGCAGCCUGCACAGGGUUUACUUCACUCGGGAAGGAGGACUUACAUUUGGAGGUCACCAUUAAGAUUGUUCCCGUCAGAUAGCAGAAGAACAAGAGACAAUUAAAAUCAUCUCCUUGGAUAAAACUCCAGUGUUUCUAGCGGGGGAGAAGCGCAAGCGAUCCGCUACUUCAACAGCUUUGCAGCGAAGAGAAAACGCUCAGCUGAUGCAGUCUGACCCGUUUUCUGACUUCUGCUGCUCUUUGGGAAUUGAGCACCCACUGGUGGUGCCACUCUGGCAAGUAUUUCAUGUCCACGAUUAUUUUUACACGUCUACAGUCAACAAUUUUUGGCCUGCAGAUGCUUGGUGAAAAAAAUACGUAUCUAUUGUGGUACAUGCAGGCCAUUGAGAGCUGGUGUCCUGCAGGCCGUCCGUCGACAAGGCAAGGCUGGGCCAACAUCACACACCUUACAUAGCUGCUCACUGCCGUGCGGGUGAUCUACGCACUAGCACGCAAUAUGGCAUAACCGUCUAUUACACAUGUGCACGUGGAGGAGUUCAAAUGCUCUGAACGUUUAGAUGGAGCCAUCACUGGCCAUGGAUGCCAGGUUCGCAGCAUUACAGUAAGAUUAGGUCAACUACCAGAAAAUACAGCAAUUUUUUUCAUUUGCUAGCUAGGACCUGACGGGCUGAAUGACCACUGCUCAAAAUGAGGCCCAGACCCCUCGUGGCCAGCGAUCUUCAUCCAUGAAGAAGGUACCCCAGCUGUGUCUGCGUGGGGGCUCGUGAUCCCCCGAUCGCGCACCGUUACUGCUGCUCAUCCAGCUCCAUCAGAAGCAGGGGGGGCGGGGGGAGCAGCAGCCGUGCCUUAAAAACAAGGCUUCCACAGCUGCCGCAUGUUCACGGUGCUUCCCAAAGCAGCCCUAGGCAAGGGCAGAGCAAUUCCUGGCAUUUCCCGCAGGCCAAGCGACUGCGAGAGAGGGGAAGAAGAAGUGUGAGGAGAAAAGCCAGGGUAGACAAAGCCACUUCAUCCCCCGGGGGUCCGGCAAUUGGCUUUUUUUGGUUUGGAGGCGGGCUGAGAAGAAAGUCAAAUGGGAGAUGAGAGAAAAAUGCCAGAAAAGAUCCUUUCAUUAACUGGUGGCCGACACGACAAGCCGAGCCCGUUAAAAACGGGCUGGUUUGGUGAGAGGCACUGAAUUGCUGAUGCUGAGCUGCACGUAAGUGCGAGUUGCGUCCGCUACGUACGCCAGCCUGCAGGCAACGCUGGCUCCCAACUGCCUGAAAAAGUUGAAGAAAAGAGUUUGUAUCCUUUCCUCAAAAGCACAGUUCUAGCCGCAAAUCCAAAUGUAUGGACAAAAUGUAAAUGCAUUGUGACAAGCUGUACAAAGAAUCAAAACAAGGAACAAGGAGCGUAUGUUUCUUCUAGAGAAAUGUCCUUUAUCUCACAGGCAGAAUGAAGUGUGUGGCAUUCAAAUGUUAAGAUUUUUACACACUUUCAUGAAAUACUAAAGAGAAACCAAAAAAAAAACAACAAGAAAAUAACCCAAGUCCAUGUCACUUCUCAGCUAGUUUGGUUAUUGCUGCUCCUGAGUACUGUAACAUAUGCACUUUCCCUUUUGAAAAUGUAUCAAAGUUGUUAUUUUGGGGGUGGGAUAAACUCUUAUCCAUGCAUAUCUUAUGUUUUAAAGCCAAGAAAGCUUAAGAACCGACUCUGGAUCUGCACAUCAGAUGCAUAAGUGAUUAGUGACAAGUGACACAGAAACAGCGAAUGUUCUAUGUUACAAUGAAUAAUAAACACAUGCAAUUUAUGCAGAAAGAGUAGGGAGAUGGCAUCAUGCACUUUUUCCAUAUAAAUAAUGUGAAUCUCUUAGAAAUGGGUCCAAGUUAAAAGGGGAGUUUCUUCAGUCCACAAACCUCGCAGGUUGUCAGAGGCUGGUCUGGGGAUGCGAUACUGACGGGGGAACAAAGCAGGGACGGGCAAGAAACGGUCACGUAUGGAUACGGUUUGCUUCUACAAUUUUGUUACAGAGCAACUAAUGGCAAUUAAUCCUCUCGAAAUUAGAAUAAACACAGGAAACAGAUUUAAAGUGAUCAAAUUUUUUCACUUGAUCAUUUUUCUGAAAGAAUGAUCCCUUUGAUAAAUGAAAACAAUUGUAUCAUUUUCUGCUUCCUGGGUUUAUGGAGAACAUCACAAAAGUGUCCACUGUGAGGAAAAAGAAAAAAAAAUAAAAAACUGCCUUGCAAACGUAUUGCUGAUGCAUACCUGAAAAAGCUAAUGAGAACUAAUUUUUGCCCGGCCAGGGCAGGCGGGCUUUCGUCCUGAGCCCGACUCCUGAACUUUUCCUCCCUCCGCGGCUUUUCUUGCUUGUCACCGAUCACUUCUGCAUCUGCUGCACAGACCCAGAGGCUUUGGCAUUCUUGGCUUUAAAAUGCAAGCUGUGCCUGGAUUGCGCUUCAUCCCACCCUCAAAGUAACACUGGCGAAAUGCAGGCGAAAGGCAGGGCGCCCUAGCAACCGGGGGUAAACCCGCCGCCCUCCUCUAGCCGCACGGAAACGCCACAUUUAUGAGCAAAGCAAUUUUCUUUUUCCUGCCUUGCUCAGCCCCGCAUCCGCCAGGGA